rnacentral:rRNA from 1 species
UGGGGAAUUUUUCCGCAAUGGGCGAAAGCCUGACGGAGCAAUGCCGCGUGGAGGUGGAAGGCCUACGGGUCGUCAACUUCUUUUCUCGGAGAAGAAACAAUGACGGUAUCUGAGGAAUAAGCAUCGGCUAACUCUGUGCCAA